rnacentral:lncRNA from 1 species
CUCCAAUUAUAAAAUAGAGUUUAAGUAAGAUGGAAUAAGGUCUCAAAUAAUACAACACUACCUUAAUUAAGGAAUGAGCGACUUUCUUAACACUCUGUUGAAUCCAUUAGAAGAACAUAUUACGAAUUAAUUUAUUUAAAAUAAUAUUAAUUCAAAUUCUGAAACCAUAGAUUUCAUCCGGCCGAGGGCAUUGAGCACCUCCAUACAAUUGAGUUCGAUAAUAACCUUGUCAAGGUAAGAAUCCUUGAUCCAUGAAACAACCUCUCAAAUCGCUAUUGCAUCGGCAACAUGAGCUUCUAUGACACCUGAAAAAUGACCCGAUAAAGCUUGGACGAAUUUACCAUCUGCAUCUUUAAUUACAAUAGCAAAACUAGUCUUAUCUUCAACUAGAAACGUUUGCGGCAUCAACAUUGCAUUUUGCCAACCUUCUUCCAAAGAGGUUGGUCGAGACAACAUCUUUGAAUCUUUCCAAGUCUACAAAAAAUUAUUAAUAAAAGUAACAAGAUUGUGAGCCUGCAUUUCCUUUUGUUGCCAUACAAACAAAUUCCUUCUAUAUCAUAUGGUGCAUAAGCAAGAUAAAUAUUGGUGUUUAAAAUCUAAAAUAUUUGCAUUGAAGAAAUCUUUGAUGAACUGAGGGACAAUACUUGUAAGAAUAUCAGCAUUUAGAGAGUCCCGUAAUGGCUUAAUAGUUGGGCAAUGUCAGAUACUAUGAUCUAGAGUUUUGAGAAGGCCACACCAACAACAAGCCCUUCUAAUAUUCAUCUCUUUUCUAGCUUAAUUAGAUUUGUAAAGGACAGAGUUCCUUAAACAAUUCCAACAGAAGUGUUGGCAUUUAGACGGUAAGUUAUUCCAAAUCUAUUGCCAAACAACCUUCAGUCUUGAGAGUAUCAAUGUUAGAGAAAUUGUCAAUAGCCAAACUUCACAGUGUAUUCACCAAGCUUAAUAAAAUGCCAAAUCAAUUUGUUAGAAGGUUUUUGCCUACUAACCAGGUCCAUAAACACACACAUCCCCUGAAUAAAAUUGACAUCCCUGGCAAUCCCUUGUGUAUUGGAAAGGUCAUGAACAAGCAAGUUUUAAAUCCUUCACUUGGUUCGGAAUCAACAAAAGAAUUCAUAUCGUCACAAAGCCAAUCAUCUUGAAAACUCUAAUGGUUCUACCAACUCCUCCUCACUCUUACCAUUUUUACCCAAAAUUCAUGGGAAUUUCCAUAGCCACUAUAAAGGAACAGUGAAGUGGAGAUCUUAGUGAGUUAGAUUAUCAUCUUGGAAAAAAGAAAUUAGAAGUGGAAGUGGAGAAAGUUGAGAAGAAAGUAAAGGGGUUAAAUAGACAAGGUAAGAAAUUCAAGAAUUUUUAUAGAAUUCAUGUUUAAUUGAAGUAGAAAAAUAAGAAAAUGAUUUGUAGUAUGAGUUUUGAUUAUGUAUUUGAUGUGUUCAUGAAGUAGAAAAAGAGAAGAAAUAAUGAAAAUGUUGGAAUCAAGGUGAAGGUGGUGACUAAAGUGAGGAAGGAAGAGAAUUAAAGCAAAAAUAGUGAAUUCCUAACAAAAAGAUAGGUAAAGGCACCAAGAAUCUUACCUUACCAAAUUUGAAUUUAUGCAUGAAUUUUAUUCUAAUUGUUAUGAUAGUGCUCUUAAAGUUUAAUUAUGCUAAUCUAAAUAACCCUUAAACUCUCUCUGCUCCCAAGAGUGCUUUGCUUAGAAGUCCUAGAGAUAGCAGUAACUGCUGCGGCUUGGGAUGAAAGAAAGCGGUGGCGACGACCGAGAGGGGAGGGAUGAGAUCUCUCUUCUUGCUGACGAAUUAAUUCAGUUAUCAGUCAAGGGCUCGAAAGUGGUACCAAGUUCUAAACCUACAUUGAUAUGUACAGUUUGGACAGAAAAGCUAUACAACCCAGAUAGUUUUAGGGCUCAUAUGAGAAGUAUAUGGAAGACAAGGAAAAAGUUUGAGAUUCAGAUGGUGGGACAAAAUUUAUUCUUAAUAAUAUUUGAGUUGGUAAAAGAUCUGGAGAUGAUAUUGGAAGGGAGACCUUGGCUCUUCUGUAAGAGUGUUAUUAUUUUUGAUAGAUUAUGUCAAGCAGUGGAGAGAGAUCAGAUUAGGCUUAUUUCAUUUCCGUUUUGGAUAAAAAUUGACUCGCGUUUCCCAGAGUUUGAUAAUAAAGAUCUACUGCAUGCUAUUGGUGCCACGUUUGGUGGGGUUCUCAGAUCUGAAAUUAAUGAAGAAUUCUGUCGGCUCAGAAUCAAUUUGGAUGUUCAGAAACCACUUAGAAGAGGUAUCUUUGUCUCUACUGAUUAUGCUAGUAAAAUGUGGAUCCCUUUUAAGUUUGAAAACUUGCUAAUGUUCUGUUUUGGAUGCGGAAGAAUGGGGUAUGGGAUGAGUAAUUGCUCUCAAAUUUUAUCUGCAAGGAAAAAUAAAAUUAGUGAAAAUCCUCCUUAUUCGUUAGCAUUAAAAGCUGAAUCAAAAUUAAUAGGAAAAGAAAAUAUGAAAUUUAAAAGUUUGCUGAAGUAGGUGGGGGUCCAAAGUUCUUAUACUGGAGGGGAAAGAGGGUCGUCGAAUAAUGUAAAAAGUGCUGAAAGAGGGAAUAACGAAGUGGGGGGUCCACAGGAGAGUUUGGAUUUAAUGGUAGAAGGGGAGAUGCUAAAGGAGCAGGAUAGUGUUUCGGGGUUAGGGGAAGCUGAGGAAGUGAGUGAUUGUUUUAGGAAAAAGAGUCAAAAUACAUAUCAUGAGAGGAAGGUAAAUUGGAUAAGAACCCAGUCCGGUGAAACAAAAAUAACAGCAAAAGUCGAAAAUAAUACGAGGAAGAGGAAGUCACUUGAUGCAAACCUUAAAGGGAGUUAUAAAGAAGAUGCAGAUAGAGAUGGAAUUAAAAGGCUGAAACAAGAUUCUUCAGAAGAUUAUGACAAAACCCCCUCAGAGGUGAGGGUAGACAAUUCCGAGCAACUUGUUGUUCAAGAUUUCUUGAGAUCGACGGCUGCCAAUAGGCAAGCCGACCGCACGCAAUGAAAAUUAUAAGCUGGAAUGUUCGUGGAUUGGGGAGUCCACGAGCUGGAAGAAGGCUGCGCUACUUUCUAAAGCAGCACAAUCCCCAAAUAGUUUUCCUAAUGGAGACUAAAAUUGAUAAACAAAGGAUGGAAAAAGUUAGGCGAAGUUGCGAUUUUAUGAAUGGAAUUGAUAUUGAAGCAGAGGGUUCGAGAGGAGGAUUAUGCUUAGCAUGGAAGGGAGAUUCUAAAGUUAGCUUACGAAGUUUCUCUAGGAAUCAUAUUGAUGUCUUGGUUAAAGAGGAACAGGAUAAAGAAGAGUAGAGAUUUACAGGAUUCUAUGGUUCCUCAUAUGUCCACAAUAAAAGAGAUUCAUGGGAUUUAUUGAUAAAAUUGGGACAAGACAAGAAUUUCCCAUGGUUGGUAGGUGGUGACUUUAAUGAGAUAAUGUAUUUUUUUGAGAAAAGUGGGGGGUCCCAAGGGAUGAGAGAAGAAUGUGCGCAUUUCAAUAAGUCCUAAAAGAUUGCCAAUUAGAAGAUUUGGGAUAUUCGGGAGUGUAGUUUACAUCAAAAAUGGGAAAUCUAUCGGAAACUAAUAUUAGAGAAAGACUUGAUAGGGGUGUGAUAAAUGAUAAAUUGAGGUAUCUUUUUUCGACAGGUUGCGUUUACCAUUUAACUCAUACAUUAUCUGAUCACUGCCCAAUUCUAAUUAAUACAAAUGGUGAAAGCUUUCAUAAGGGCAAUUUAAAAUUUAAAUUUGAGGCAUGGUGGCUGAUAGAAGAGACGUGCGAGAAAGUAAUCAAAGAAUCUUGGGAAUCAGGAAUAGGCACAGUAGUUGAGAAACUUGGAAAAUUACAAGAAGACCUAAUGGUAUGGGAGAGAAUGAUUAAGCAAUGAAGAGAAGGAUUAAAGAAAAAGCUAACAGAGCAACUAGAUAUGUUAAUGGAAAAGGAAAGGGAUGACAAUAUAAUGGCAGAAAUUAUUGAUACUAAGAUCCACUUGAACAUGGAAAUUGAUAAAGAUGAAGUUUAUUGGGAACAAAGGGCUAGGGCAAAUUGGCUCAAAGUAGGGGAUAGGAAUUCAACCUUUUUUCACAGGUAUGCUACAUAUUGAAGACGUAUAAAUUCAAUAUCCAAACUGGAGAAAGCUGGAGGAAGAGAAGCUAAUGAUAUGGAUGAGAUUAAUGAAGUAGCUACCUUUUAUUUUCAGUAGCUUUUCACAUCAAAAGGAGCUGGGGAUUGUUCCUAUCUUUUAUCGAGAAUAAAGGAAAAUAUUUCAACAGAUAUUAAUAGAGAGCUAAUGACCGGCUUUACAGCAGAGGAAGUGCAUACGGUAUUGAAAGGAAUGGGACCUACAAAAGCACCAGGACAUGAUGGUUUUCCAGCCAUUUUCUUUCAAAAAUUCUAGCAUAUUGUAGGUAAAGAAACAACAAAUCUUUGUUUGGAAAUUUUAAAUAACGGUGCAAGUCUAGGUACAUUGAAUCACACGGACAUUGUGCUGAUCCCAAAAAUCCCAAAUCCUAUCAAUUUAUGUUCGAUCAUUUAUAAAGUGGUAGCAAAAACAAUUACUAAUCGAUUGCAAGCAGUUAUUGGAAGAUGUAUUGAUGCGGCCCAGAGCACGUUUGUUCCCAGAAGAUCUUGCAUACUUUUCGACAGAAACGUAUAGGAAAAAAAGGAUAUAUGGCGGUAAAGCUUGAUAUGAGCAAAGUCUAUGACAAGGUUGAGUAGGGAUAUUUGAAGGAACUGAUGUUACAAAUGGGGUUCACAUCAGACUGGGUGAAGCUGGUUAUGAAUUGCGUUUCCACAACCUAUGCAGUUACUAUAAAUGGUAGAAGUGGAAGAUAUUUCUCCCCAUCUAGAGGCUUGCGUCAAGGAGACCCACUGAGCCUUUUUCUAUUUUUGAUGUGUACGUGAGGGAUUAUCAUCUUUGAUGAGAAAGGCUUCAAAAAUGGGAUUGAUAAAAGGUGCAAAAGCCAACAGAAGAGGACCAAAAAUUUCACACUUACUUUUUGCAGAUGAUUGUAUUUUAUUCGGGGAAGCAUCAGAUAGGGGUGCUAAGGUACUAAAAGAAAAUUUGAAGGAAUAUGAAAAGUGUUCUGGGCAAUACGUUAAUUUUAAUAAAUCUACCAUAUUUUUUAGCUCAAAUACGUCCAAUGAAAAAAAGGGAAGAAGUUUCGACAAUACGGAGGGUAAGGAUCUCAACAAAUUUAGAACGAUACUUGGGGCUUCCGAAUGUUGUUGGUCGACGUAAGAAAGGAUCCUUUCAGCACUUAAAAGAGAAUAUUUCUACUAGAAUUGAUGGGUGGAGUACUAGAACGCUAUCUCAAGGAGGUAAAGAAGUAUUUAUUAAAUCGGUGUUACAGGCCAUUCCAACAUAUGUUAUGUUGUGCUUCUUAUUGCCAAAAACUCUUUGUGGAGACUUUGAAAACAUUUUUGCUAAAUUUUGACGGCAGAAAGAGCAUGGGCGAAGAGGUAUCCAUUGGUGUCAGUGGAAGUACUUAUGCCGACCUAAAGAAGGUGGGAUGGGUUUUAGAAAUAUGGCUCAAUUCAAUAUCUCACUUUUAGCUAAACAGGUAUGGCGAAUUUUGAACAAUCCAAACUCUUUAGUAGCGCAAGUCUUAAAAGCAAAAUAUUUUCCAAAAGUCGAUUUUUUAAAUUCACAGUUGGGGAAUAACGUUUCAUAUACAUGGAAAAGUAUUUGGGCUACUAAGGGCAUUUUAGCAGAGGGAUUAUGUUGGAAGGUGGGUAGAGGUAUGAAUAUUUCAGAAAAUCGUGAUUAUUGGAUUCCAGCUUUACCGUGUGGCAGGUUACCAGUUUUAAAUACGAAUUUGAAUGAUAUUAAAGUUGCGGAGUUAAUAGAUUCAAAUAGCAGAACAUGGAGAAAGGAAUUGAUAGAGUCUACCUUCCCGGAGAACAUUGCCGAGAUGAUUCUCAAUAUCCCGCUGGCAGAAAAACCUCACGAAAAUUUCCUAGUUUGGAGUGCUGAAGCAUCGGGUGAGUACACAGUACGUAGCGCCUAUAAACUAUUACAAAGUACUAAAGAUAAUCCUAGAGCUUAUGCUUUACAAACCGACUAUAAGGACUUUUACAGAAAACUAUGGUUACUUGAUCUUCCUUCAAAGAUAAAAAUUACAAUCUGGAAGAUAUCUUGGAAUUUCCUAGCUACACGUGUUAAUAUGCUACUUAGAAGACUAACGAACAUAUCAGUGUGUCCUCGGUGUGGCUCAGAAACAGAAACUAUGGACCACCUCUUCCGUGAAUGUCAUGUUUCAACAUCAGUUUCGAAAGAGUUAUCAUUUCAUAUUUGUUUGUAAGAUAAUCAGAUGGGGUUUCUACAGUGGCUAACCUGGAUUUUUUCAAAAAGCUCAGCAGGUCAGUGUCGGAUCUUUUGUUAUGCAUUAUGGGCUAUCUGGGGAGACAGGAACAAUAGAGUGCAUAAAAAGUGAGUAAAUCUGGAAAAGAAAUAGGGAGAUUCGUUAAUAGCUACAUUUCAGAGUUAAAUGGGAUUGGUAAAAAAAGACCACAAAUUUCCAUACCUACUAAUAAAUGGAAAAGGCCAUCUGAUCGGGUUGUUAAGAUAAAUUUUGACGCAGCAUAUGAAGAUGGACAAAAGAAAGCGGCUGUAGGAAUAGUGGCUAGAGACAGAGAGGGUACAGUUCUUCUAUCAUGCUCGGAAGUCCACCAACGGGUUUUAUCAGCCUUUGCAGCGGAGGCAUUCGGGUGUCGGAAAGCACUCCAGAUCGGCGUUCACAUGCAGUGGGAAAAAGUUACUAUUGAAGGAGAUUAUUUAUUAAUAAUAAGGAAAUGCAAAUAAAAAAACCCAGACAAAUCAUUGGUCAGUGCGUAUAUUCAUGACAUUCAUCAGCUUAUGUUAACAUUUAAGGAUUGUAGAUUUGAGCAUAUUCCAGGAUUAGCAAAUAGCCUCGCGCAUAUCUUAGCAACUGAAGCAUUAAAGAGUAAUAAAGGAGAGUAUCUGGUAGGAAGAGUCCCUGAAACAGCAGAAAAACAAGCGGAAAAUGAAAGGGUGAGAGAACCAGAUUGAAAUAGGAAAUGGGAGAAAAUGGAGUAAGGGGAGUCUGAGAAGGGCAGGUAAUUAAAUGACUAUAGCAGGCCUUGGGUAAAUGGAAACGUCUUGAAAGUGUAAAGAAAGAUGAAAAGACAAGACGUUAUUUUCUUUUGACGCUGAUUGGGUGGGUUGAACAGUAGCAUUUAUUUGUUUUCAGCCUUUUGUUUCCAGUUUUUUGCUUUGGUUUCCUAGGUGAUUAGUUUUCCUUUUAAUUUUGUUUCUUUAGUUGUUCUUUUUGCUGGCCCAAGUUUGAUAUUUGGGCUCUUUCUAUUUCUUUUUAGGAUUAGAU